rnacentral:rRNA from 1 species
GAUGAACGCUGGCGGCGUGCCUAAUACAUGCAAGUCGAGCGAAUGGAUUAAGAGCUUGCUCUUAUGAAGUUAGCGGCGGACGGGUGAGUAACACGUGGGUAACCUGCCCAUAAGACUGGGAUAACUCCGGGAAACCGGGGCUAAUACCGGAUAACAUUUUGAACCGCAUGGUUCGAAAUUGAAAGGCGGCUUCGGCUGUCACUUAUGGAUGGACCCGCGUCGUAUUAGCUAGUUGGUGAGGUAACGGCUCACCAAGGCAACGAUGCGUAGCCGACCUGAGAGGGUGAUCGGCCACACUGGGACUGAGACACGGCCCAGACUUCUACGGGAGGCAGCAGUAGGGAAUCUUCCGCAAUGGACGAAAGUCUGACGGAGCAACGCCGCGUGAGUGAUGAAGGCUUUCGGGUCGUAAAACUCUGUUGUUAGGGAAGAACAAGUGCUAGUUGAAUAAGCUGACACCUUGACGGUACCUAACCAGAAAGCCACGGCUAACUACGUGCCAGCCGCCGCAGUAA